CAGUAGCCGCGGGAAUACGUAGGGUGCGAGCGUUAAUCGGAAUUACUGGGCGUAAAGCGUGCGCAGGCGGUUUUGUAAGACAGGCGUGAAAUCCCCGGGCUCAACCUGGGAAUGGCGCUUGUGACUGCAAAGCUAGAGUGCGGCAGAGGGGGAUGGAAUUCCGCGUGUAGCAGUGAAAUGCGUAGAUAUGCGGAGGAACACCGAUGGCGAAGGCAAUCCCCUGGGCCUGCACUGACGCUCAUGCACGAAAGCGUGGGGAGCAAACAGGAUUAGAUACCCGUGUAGUCCCUGUCUCUUAUAA
rnacentral:rRNA from 1 species